rnacentral:misc_RNA from 1 species
GGACAGCGUCGAUGGCAGCAAUCAUUUUCUCAGCAUAUUCAGGAUCUGGGCACCUUACUAUGUUGCUCUCAAUCUGCUCCAUUGACAAAGUUUCAUGAUCAACCACACCCUCGGGCAGUACAACCUUGUAGACUUGAGAUACAUAAGCAAGUACCUCGGUUCCUGCAAGUUCCUUCAAAAUUUUCUUAGCAACAGCUCCCGCAGCAACCCUCCCAAUGGUUUCCCUGGCUGAAG